UACUUGCAAGCAGAGCGGUGCUAGAUAUGGAAGGUUAUUUUUGGCAGUCAAAGUGAGAUUUACUUGUAGUCCGCAGUUUUGAAUCCAAGGUAUUUCUAUAAUAAGAAAACCUCGUAGUAGAAGGGAGCAUUCCACGAAUUAGGGGAGUUGUGUCCAUCACAGUUCUUAUCAAAUAAGUAGCGACUUUCUUUGGGAGAAAACUGAUUUCAUGCGGUGAAUUUGGAGAAUUGCUUACAAUGGUGUUUCAUAUUAAUCAAAACAAGUCUUGGCAAGAAAACAGGGUGUCUGAAUCCUGCUUGUGCAGGCAACUUUUAGAAACAGAGAGAGGUCAGGCAUAGUCCGAGAAUGGCACAGUUAAAUAAGGCUGUUAUACUUAACAUGUUCAUUAUAGUUUAAAAAUUAAACUAAUUGAACUGACCACUGUAUGCUUAUUCAAAGGCAGUCUUUGUCAAAUACUUUAACACAUAUUUGUAUAUGAAGUUAAACUGACGCAUUGACAACACACUGAAAAGGUAACAUAAUAUGCGGCUAGGAGGGAUAUAUAUAUAUUGACCCACCUUAAUAUAAUCAAAUAGAGCUGGUGUUACAUAUUAAAAACAACUCUCAUAUAUACACAUAUACUUGUAUUAUAUUAUAGCAAGGAUUCUGUGAACUUUGGUCCACCUGACUUUUUAGAAAAAGGAGGAGUUGGAAAAAGAGAGUGAUAGAAUGUAUAAUUAACUUAAAAAUAAGAAAUGUCAAGGCCAAGUGAUGAUUAGAUUUACUUGGGACUUCUGAUGUAUUCAAUGGAGGGAAAAACCUAGGUAAAACUCCAGUCAAGUAUUGCACGACUUGCUAACUGCAAGUUGUGUGGUCCAUGCUCUGAGGAUCUCUGAAAAACUGAUUGCUGUUUGGUCGUAUUCACAAGUCUCUACCUUUUGAAGACAGUUCUUAUUUUUCAAUAUAUCCUACACUACACUUCCAUAUACUGGAAGGAUCAACUUGCCCCCUACCAAGGUGGCCGUGUAUGCCGUGAGUUACAGCCUGCUGCCCGGUACAAACCGGCGAUCCCCACGGCCACCCCUUCGCCCUCCCCGAGCAACAGUAUAUGAGACAGCGCCACCAUUACCUGGACCCCCCACUAACCCCUUCACACUCUCCAGCCACAACGAUGCCCUCUCCCGAGCAGCAGAUCAGGAGACAGUACCGCUGCCCAAGCUUAACAUUGCAGCCUCCUUCGCUGGUGGAACUCCCCCGGGAUUCAUGACCAUCCGACUCCUGCAACUGGGUUGAGACCAUGUCGGCAGAUCUGGUUGCCCCUUCGCUUCAGGAUUCAGGUCAGUUCUUCCCGGGCCGGGAAGUGUUUAAGAGGGGGCAGUGUAGCAGCGGGGCAGCUGGACUGAGUUAUGGGAUUUUGCUGUUUACAAUAAUGUGUAAUGUGUUCUCUGUUUAUGCAUUGCAGCAUGAGUGAAUGUGAAUCUGUUCACCGGCUGAUGCUGGUUUCUCUCUCUCCUUUUUGUGUGAGUGUCAAAAUAUGGCACAAGGAAUCAGGUUGGCGAAGGACAGGUCAUAUGUCCCAUUUUUCAAAUACAGCGAGAGAUGGGUCAGGGUUGGCGAGAGAGGGGUCAUGGUAAAUUACACAAAGAGUCAUGUUUGGCGAGGGAGGGGUCACACUGUGUGCAAAGAAUAAUGGGAUAAAUACAGCUCAGGAGAAAUGUUUCUAUUAAGAGUCAAUGGAGCUGUGUCAUAUUUUGCAGAUUUUUGCUAUGUUAAAAAAAUGCAUCAAAUUUUUAAAGUAAAUUUCACUUUUGCCCAAGGUCUCUUGAACAAAACAGCGACACUGACAAAUUAUGACAGUAUGUAAUUAGAAAUACAGAGUAACAGCACAGCCAGCACAGCUAUUCUACUAUGGUACAGAAUUCAGAAGCAUAAAGCUGAGGAAAAGCUGUUGAUAUCUUUGGUUCUGUAUUUUAUUAAAUUGUAAAAUAAACAACAUAUUUGUUACCACUUUUUCAAGAAUAAAAUAAGCACACACCAUACGGAUGGGGAUGCCUGAUUUCAAUGACCUGCUUUGUCCCAGUAGCUAUAUUGUUAUGUGUAUUGUUAAUAUUUUUUGAUGUUAUGUAUUCCCAAAGCUAUCAAUGUUACCCAAAUGUUACAUAAUUAAAUGUAGACUUGUCUUUUCAAAUCACAUGGAUUUGAUUGACAGAUAACUUAUGAAUAUCCAGUUAAUAUAGCCUUAACUACAUACAUUUUGUUUUGGCAGGGAGGUAUUAUCCACCCAUGGACUUUCAGGAAGAGCUGGUAAUGCCAACCAUGGCUCUAUUGCCAAACUAUCCCUUAAUCCUGGGAAAAUAAAGUUGCUUCUUGGUUAGAAUAUUGAAAUAAACAUUUGAGUUGCAAUCAUUGUCAAUUGAUGAUUUGUUGAUACUUUACUUUUUUACAUUUUUAAAUAAUUACUUUUGUGAUGUGACUUUUUUUUUAAUGUAUUUAGUAAAACAAUGAUAAUUCUGAAUAUGUGAAUUGAUACCAGGUGACCCUACAUUUGUAUCGUGCACAUAUACUACUUAGUCAAAAUACAGUGUAAUGUGCAUAAAUUGAGUAAAAAUUAGUAAAACAUAAUUUUCUUCCUUAUUUUGUGUCCCUUGUAGAAACAGUGCAGAGAAAGUUCCCAGGUGUUCCGCAAAAAUUUAAGAGCUGCACCCAGAGAAAAGUUAAACGAUGAACAUAAAUUAAAAUGCAGAAUGAUCCAACAAAGGAAGAUUGAACAAUGACCUAAAAACCGAAACAAUGAUUCGGCCUUGUUAAAGCUGCAUUUAAGUGACCCACUUUGGAUCUCGACUCAUAGUUUAAGAACCCUUAACUUAGGAAUGUGUGGCCAUUAUUUUAAAGUGUUACCAUUGUUUUGUUUUUAAAAUAACUAUAAAUUAUUUCAAUCAAUUACAUUUUGUAAAUUUAUAUUUUCAUUAAUAAAAUAUAUUCCUAUGUC